rnacentral:rRNA from 1 species
AGUGAACGCUGGCGGCAGGCUUAACACAUGCAAGUCGAACGGCAGCACAGUAAGAGCUUGCUCUUACGGGUGGCGAGUGGCGGACGGGUGAGGAAUACAUCGGAAUCUACUUUUUCGCGGGGGAUAACGGAGGGAAACUCACGCUAAUACCGCAUACGACCUACGGGUGAAAGCAGGGCAUCUUCGGACUUUGCGCGAUUGAAUGAGCCGAUGUCGGAUUAGCUAGUUGGCGGGGUAAAGGCCCACCAAGGCGACGAUCCGUAGCUGGUCUGAGAGGAUGAUCAGCCACACUGGAACUGAGACACGGUCCAGACUCCUACGGGAGGCAGCAGUGGGGAAUAUUGGACAAUGGGCGCAAGCCUGAUCCAGCCAUACCGCGUGGGUGAAGAAGGCCUUCGGGUUGUAAAGCCCUUUUGUUGGGAAAGAAAAGCAGCAGGUUAAUACCCCGCUGUUCUGACGGUACCCAAAGAAUAAGCACCGGCUAACUUCGUG